rnacentral:rRNA from 1 species
AUACGGAGGGUGCAAGCGUUGUUCGGAAUUAUUGGGCGUAAAGAGCAUGUAGGCGGUCUGUUAAGUCUGGUGUGAAAGCCCGGGGCUCAACCCCGGAAGUGCAUUGGAUACUGGCAGACUUGAGUAUGGGAGAGGAAAGCGGAAUUCCGAGUGUAGGAGUGAAAUCCGUAGAUAUUCGGAGGAACACCAGUGGCGAAGGCGGCUUUCUGGACCAAUACUGACGCUGAGAUGCGAAAGCGUGGGGAGCAAACAGGAUUAGAUACCCCGGUAGUCC